CAUUAGUGCAGUGAAUAAGGUAGUAAGCAAGGUGAUGAGUUUUACUCUAGUCUUGCCGAUGAGUCGUCAUUGACCUAGUGUGACUCUACCGAUAUAGAUUAGGCGCACUAACC
rnacentral:sRNA from 1 species